rnacentral:rRNA from 1 species
UACGAACUGUGCGAACGUUAUUCGGAAUCACUGGGCUUACAGGGUACGUAGGCGGCUCAACAAGUCAGGUGUGAAAGCCCCCGGCUCAACCGGGGAACUGCGCUUGAAACUGUUAGGCUCGAGUCAGCUAGAGGUACACGGAACUUCCAGUGGAGCGGUGAAAUGUGUUGAUAUUGGAAGGAACACCGGAGGCGAAAGCGGUGUACUGGGGCUGGUCUGACGCUGAGGCACGAAAGCCAGGGGAGCGAACGGG